AAAAAUUGCUAGGGGAGCCACUAGGCUGAGAGGACUACCGACCCUUAUACCUGAUCUGGAUAAUGCCAGCGUAGGGAAGCUUUAUAAGACUUAA
rnacentral:ncRNA from 1 species